UCUAAAGCUAUCAACCAAGUAUCAUAUACUUCCUCUGCUUUAUCUUUCAUUAAAUUACUGUAUUCAUCAGCCGACAAAUCUUUUUGCUUUUCUAUCCUCAAAGAAUGAUCUGUUAUCUCGGCUGGAAUUACGGCCUCAUGUCCGUAAACUAAUUGGAAUGGUGUCAUCCAUAUUGCCGUUUUCACUAAAGUUCGGCAUGCCCAUAAUACUUCGGAAAGUUUUUCAUUCCAUUUUCUCGGAUGCUUUCCGAUAUGUCGUUUCAUAAGGUUGAUGACUAUUUUAUUCGCUGCUUCU
rnacentral:lncRNA from 1 species